rnacentral:hammerhead_ribozyme from 1 species
AUCUAACUGACAAGUCCCAAAUAGGACGAAACAUGUGUCCUGGAU